UACGUAGGGUGCGAGCGUUAAUCGGAAUUACUGGGCGUAAAGCGUGCGCAGGCGGUGAUGUAAGACCGAUGUGAAAUCCCCGGGCUUAACCUGGGAACUGCAUUGGUGACUGCAUUGCUGGAGUAUGGCAGAGGGGGGUGGAAUUCCACGUGUAGCAGUGAAAUGCGUAGAGAUGUGGAGGAACACCGAUGGCGAAGGCAGCCCCCUGGCCAAUACUGACGCUCAUGCACGAAAGCGUGGGGAGCAAACAGG
rnacentral:rRNA from 1 species